rnacentral:rRNA from 1 species
CCUACGGGAGGCAGCAGUGGGGAAUAUUGGACAAUGGGCGAAAGCCUGAUCCAGCAAUGCCGCGUGAGUGAUGAAGGCCUUAGGGUUGUAAAGCUCUUUUACCCGGGAUGAUAAUGACAGUACCGGGAGAAUAAGCUCCGGCUAACUCCGUGCCAGCAGCCGCGGUAAUACGGAGGGAGCUAGCGUUAUUCGGAAUUACUGGGCGUAAAGCGCACGUAGGCGGCUUUGUAAGUAAGAGGUGAAAGCCUGGUGCUCAACACCAGAACUGCCUUUUAGACUGCAUCGCUUGAAUCCAGGAGAGGUGAGUGGAAUUCCGAGUGUAGAGGUGAAAUUCGUAGAUAUUCGGAAGAACACCAGUGGCGAAGGCGGCUCACUGGACUGGUAUUGACGCUGAGGUGCGAAAGCGUGGGGGANCAAACGAGGUAUUAGACUACCCGUGGUAGUCCACGCCGUAAACGAUGAUAACCUAGCUGUCGGGUCGUCUUAGUAGUCGUUCGGUGGUCGGCGACGACGUAACCGACGAUUAAGUUAGUCCGUCCGUCGGGUAGGUACGGCCGCGAACGGUUAAACGUAACGUAAAGUAAGUUAGUUACGGUCGUUGAGACGUUGCCGACGGCGACGACGAGGGAGGAGG